rnacentral:rRNA from 1 species
UACGUAGGGGGCAAGCGUUGUCCGGAUUUAUUGGGCGUAAAGAGCGUGUAGGCGGCCAGAUAGGUCUGUUGUGAAAGCUCGAGGCUCAACCUCGAGACGCCGAUGGAAACCAUCUGGCUAGAGUCCGGAAGAGGAGAGUGGAAUUCCUGGUGUAGCGGUGAAAUGCGCAGAUAUCAGGAAGAACACCCGUGGCUAAGGCGGCUCUCUAGUACGGUACUGACGCUGAGACGCGAAAGCGUGGGGAGCGAACAGG